UACGGGGGGGGCAAGCGUUGUUCGGAAUUACUGGGCGUAAAGGGCUCGUAGGCGGCCAACUAAGUCGGACGUGAAAUCCCUCGGCUUAACCGGGGAACUGCGUCCGAUACUGGAUGGCUGGAGGUUGGGAGAGGGAUGCGGAAUUCCAGGUGUAGCGGUGAAAUGCGUAGAUAUCUGGAGGAACACCGUGGUCGGAGGAGGCGACUCCUGGACCAAUUCUGACGCUGAGGAGCGAAAGCCAGGGGAGCAAACGGG
rnacentral:rRNA from 1 species